AGAGUUUGAUCCUGGCUCAGAGCGAACGCUGGCGGCAGGCUUAACACAUGCAAGUCGAGCGGGCACUUCGGUGUCAGCGGCAGACGGGUGAGUAACACGUGGGAACGUACCCUUCGGUUCGGAAUAACGCUGGGAAACUAGCGCUAAUACCGGAUACGCCCUUAUGGGGAAAGGUUUACUGCCGAAGGAUCGGCCCGCGUCUGAUUAGCUAGUUGGUGGGGUAAUGGCCUACCAAGGCGACGAUCAGUAGCUGGUCUGAGAGGAUGAUCAGCCACACUGGGACUGAGACACGGCCCAGACUCCUACGGGAGGCAGCAGUGGGGAAUAUUGGACAAUGGGCGCAAGCCUGAUCCAGCCAUGCCGCGUGAGUGAUGAAGGCCUUAGGGUUGUAAAGCUCUUUUGUCCGGGACGAUAAUGACGGUACCGGAAGAAUAAGCCCCGGCUAACUUCGUGCCAGCAGCCGCGGUAAUAC
rnacentral:rRNA from 1 species